rnacentral:rRNA from 1 species
UGGGAAUAUUGGACAAUGGGGGGAACCCUGAUCCAGCCAUGCCGCGUGUGUGAAGAAGGCCUUAUGGUUGUAAAGCACUUUAAGCGAGGAGGAGGCUCUUUUGGUUAAUACCCAGAAUGAGUGGACGUUACUCCCAGAAUAAGCACCGGCUAACUCUGUG